rnacentral:rRNA from 1 species
ACACGCUGGCGGCGUGCUUAACACAUGCAAGUCGAACGGUGACGAGGAGCUUGCUCCUCUGAUCAGUGGCGAACGGGUGAGUAACACGUGAGCAACCUGCCCCAGACUCUGGGAUAACAGUUGGAAACAGCUGCUAAUACCGGAUACGAGACGGAGAGGCAUCUCUACCGUCUGGAAAGUUUUCGGUCUGGGAUGGACUCGCGGCCUAUCAGCUAGUUGGUGAGGUAAUGGCUCACCAAGGCGACGACGGGUAGCCGGCCUGAGAGGGCGACCGGCCACACUGGGACUGAGACACGGCCCAGACUCCUACGGGAGGCAGCAGUGGGGAAUAUUGCACAAUGGGCGAAAGCCUGAUGCAGCGACGCCGCGUGAGGGAUGACGGCCUUCGGGUUGUAAACCUCUUUCAGCAGGGAAGAAGCGAAAGUGACGGUACCUGCAGAAGAAGCACCGGCUAACUACGUG